GACGAACGCUGGCGGCGUGCUUAUCACAUGCAAGUCGAACGGAAAGGCCUGCUUUCCCUUGUGGAUUGCGGGUACUCGAGUGGCGAACGGGUGAGUAACACGUGAGUGAUCUGCCCCCAACUUGGGUAUAAGCCUGGGAAACUGGGUCUAAUUCCCGAUAGGACUGCAGGGUGGUGCCUGUGGUGGAAAACGAUUUUCUAGUGGUUGGGGAUGAGCUCGCGGCCUAUCAGCUUGUUGGUGGGGUAAUGGCCUACCAAGGCGGCGACGGGUAGCCGGCCUGAGAGGGUGGACGGUCACAUUGAGACUGGGAUACGGCCCAGACUCCUACGGGAGGCAGCAGUGGGGAAUAUUGCACAAUGGGCGGAAGCCUGAUGCAGCGACGCCGCGUGGGAGAUGACGGCCUUCGGGUUGUAAACUCCUUUCGACCGCGAGGAAGCCACCUGGUUGGAAGGGUGGUGACGGUAGUGGUGGAAGAAGCACCGGCUAACUACGUG
rnacentral:rRNA from 1 species